GACGAACCGUGCGAACGUUAUUCGGAAUCACUGGGCUUAAAGGGUGCGUAGGCUGCGAGGAGGGUGGGGUGUGAAAUCCCUCGGCCUAACCGAGGAAUUGCGCUCCAAACCGCCUUGCUGGAGUGAGACAGAGGUGAGCGGAACUAAUGGUGGAGCGGUGAAAUGCGUUGAUAUCAUUAGGAACACCAGAGGCGAAGGCGGCUCACUGGGUCUCGACUGACGCUGAUGCACGAAAGCUAGGGGAGCAAACAGG
rnacentral:rRNA from 1 species